AACGAACGCUGGCGGCAGGCCUAACACAUGCAAGUCGAGCGAGGACUUCGGUCCUAGCGGCGGACGGGUGAGUAACGCGUGGGAACGUGCCCUUUGCUUCGGAAUAGCCCUGGGAAACUGGGAGUAAUACCGGAUGAGCCCUUUGGGGGAAAGAUUUAUCGGCGAAGGAUCGGCCCGCGUUGGAUUAGGUAGUUGGUGGGGUAAUGGCCUACCAAGCCGACGAUCCAUAGCUGGUUUGAGAGGAUGAUCAGCCACACUGGGACUGAGACACGGCCCAGACUCCUACGGGAGGCAGCAGUGGGGAAUCUUAGACAAUGGGGGAAACCGUGAUCUAGCCAUGCCGCGUGAGCGAUGAAGGCCUUAGGGUUGUAAAGCUCUUUCAGCUGGGAAGAUAAUGACGGUACCAGCAGAAGAAGCCCCGGCUAACUCCGUG
rnacentral:rRNA from 1 species